rnacentral:rRNA from 1 species
AUGGCGACUGCCGGCGAGUUAGAUCGGUUCGAGGAUCCGGCUGUGUCGGUGCGUCCUUGUUCUGGUCGGAAGAACAAGAAGGGGUCUUCUUCCAAGGCCCGUAAGGUGGUGAUGGUGGAGGCUUCCGUUACCUCCAAUCGUCUUCCAGAGAAGCGGUGUUCCAAGAAGGGGUCCUCCAUGCACAAGGAGGUGGCGCGUCUUGAUGGAAAAGAGGCCACUUGUGGUGAUCCCAGGUGCAAGGUGGGUGUUCAUCCUCCGGUGAACAACAUGAUGUUUCUAGAGAGGAUCGAAAGCAUCCUGUCCUCGGAUAAGCCCGCCCCCUCGACCCGGAGGAGGACGACGACGCUGACUUCUUCAACGAGAUGGACGACAGCAUGGCCGCCUUCCAGCAGGAUAUCUGGAAGGAGGUGA